AUCGAAGUUCACGUCAAGCCUGCGCAAUGGAGCUUUGUCAUGAGCAGGAGUGAUAAGAAGUAAUAUUAACUGUAGUAAUAUGUGGUCUAACAUCACAGCAUUCAUUCUCCAGAAUGUUUCCUACAAAUUAUAAUGCAUAAAAAACUAUAAUCAUAUAUGCUUUUUUGUGGUAGAAUAAGAAAGGGAAAAUAGGAAAAAAUAUGGCACGAAUGUUCUAUUUGGACCAGCUGUCAAUUCAAAACUUCAAAAAUCUAUUCUUAAUAAACAUUUUAAAUAUUGAAAAACAAAAUAUUUUUAACUCAAAAUUUUAUGUCCAAUACACAAAAUCAGUGCUACAUAUAUCCAAAUAUUUUCCUCUCAUUUUUUAAAUAUUUUACAUAGAGAGUAACAUGUUUAUAUUGGUAUUAAAAUUUUUUGCAAUUAUCUUAAAUGUACCAUUAGAGAUAAACAGAAAUAAAAAAUUCAGUCUUCACAUACUUUUAAAACUUUAGUAUAAGUAAGACUGUUUUUGUUAGAAGUAUUAAAUGCAGUUUAACAAAAUUAUCAUGGACAUGCUGCAGCAAAAACAAAAUGUAUAUAAAAAAAACACAUUAUUACAAAUGUGAGCUGUAUCAGGAAGUUCCUGCAACACUAUGGAAUAAGAUUGCUAAAAGGAAAGUAAAUCAUCACAAUGAUCACCUUUUCUGGGCUUGAUCUUUUCUUAAAAUAUUUGUGCCCAUUUCAUAUUUUGUACAAUAUAAAAAUGAAGAUAUAAAUAUAUUAUUUUGACAUUAGCCUGAGAUAUUGAGAGGCAGAGCUGACUAGAUACAUUUUUUCUAAUCA